CUUGCUUUCUUUGCUGGCGACCGGCGCACGGGUGAGUAACACGUAUCCAACCUGCCCUUUACUCGGGGAUAGCCUUUCGAAAGAAAGAUUAAUACCCGAUAGUAUAAUGAUUCCGCAUGGUUUCAUUAUUAAAGGAUUCCGGUAAAGGAUGGGGAUGCGUUCCAUUAGGUUGUUGGUGAGGUAACGGCUCACCAAGCCUUCGAUGGAUAGGGGUUCUGAGAGAAAGGUCCCCCACAUUGGAACUGAGACACGGUCCAAACUCCUACGGGAGGCAGCAUG
rnacentral:rRNA from 1 species